CAUCUUGCAUGAGACACAAAGUUAAACUUUCUGGCCUGCUGGCGGGAGACGUUCCAUGCAUAUGAGGCGAGUCAGGAUGUUCCAUGGCACAUUUGGAAAGAAGAAGAGGGCUUCAGUAGAGACAAGGUAGAGCUGGAAGGAAGACAACUGCCUGCCUUGAAGUCUGCCCCAGUUUCCUGCCUCUAACCUCACUAACUAUCUGCAGGACAACAGUUGCAUAAAGUGUGCAAUGAGGAUAAUCCUCUUCGCAUUUCCUAUGUGGGUCCACAUGAGUGGAUGAAGCUGCCAUUCAAGGACUGAUUAAGAGAGUCCUUGCCUCCCAAGCCCUGGAUCCCAGAGGGUCAGAGUGAGGUUUACUCUCCUCUAUGCUGACAGCAUUUCCUCAUUAAAUGCAAUCAUCUGCAAAAAAGAAGGGACAAGGUUUGACUGGAGCAGUUGAAAGAGAGGACUGCAAAGAGCAGUGAUGGUGAAUCCACACAACUCUUCACAGAAGUUGUAGACAUGGCUCAAUCCUGGCGAGAGCCAAUGAGGUGGAAGAAAAAGUGAACAAUGGCCAGGGGGACAGCCACAGAGCUGAACAUGGAGAGGAAAGACCUUCCAGAGACAUUUGCAUGCACAUGAUUAACAGCUGUUCUCUUGGCCUGGUCCCACAUCCUUCUUGGGUGCAAGAGACCAAAGACAGUGGUGAGUCAGGAGGCAGAGGCUCUCUGGGACCCAAAUCUAGAAAUGAGAAGAAUUUUUAUCACCUCUAGGCUUCCAAGGACUUGAGGAUCAACAUGUAAAAGAUUGUAUGGACAUUUCUCCCAUGAGCAGCCUUGGCUAUCUGCAUGCUGUAUAAACAUCUCUACACUUGCUGCAAAAAUUUGACCAAGGCAUGACAGGAAGGUGUUAUCAGAAUUAGAGAAAAUUGUUGCUUCAACCCUGGAUCCCACCACCUUCAACCCAAGUAAACAUUUCUGUUAGUGUCUUGGAUGUCUUCAUCAAAUAUAAGCAAAGUUGCUCCAAAACCACAGACCCAGACGGUUGCAUCUGAAGUCUGCAUGCCUCGAACUGGGCCACUUCUCAUGGUCCCAGGAAAAAGAUAAGCUUAAUUUGAAAACUCCUGCUGAUUCCAUCAGAGUGAGGUCAUGAGCGGAUCAAGAAGCUACCGUAACCCCUCCCUUGUGCUGAUGGCCUCACCUUCACCUACAAUAGCAGUGAAGGCUCCUAGACUUCUGAGCCUCCAGAGAUACUUGGUUCACCUUCAAGGACAUGGGCCCAGAGCCUGCAGAUCAUAAAAGGAAUCCUUUUCACAGCUCAGUCCAUUUGGGUUAAGACUUCCUAAUGGGGUGCAAAACCCAAGCGGCUCUUGCAAUUUUACCAAAGUCCUGGACAAGCAGUAAGGCUAUGGGUUUGGAAAUGAAUUUGUGUAUCACAUCACUGGCCUGAGCCAUGGGAACUCAUCUGGUUUCAGCCCUGGAGUAGUAUUUUCCAAGUUUUAACUAUAGGUGAGCCAGCUUCUGAAUUUCUGUUUUACACUUCUGCCUAGGUACUCCCUGUACACACAUUUAGAUCCUUAAGCAGUUGCAUUUAAAACUUACAAUCUUGGGUCUCUCCUAACCCUCAGCAACAUCUUGAAGUCAUAGAUGGGGAAUGUUAGUUGCACUUAUCCUGAUACCCAUUUGCCAAUAAAAUCCUCAACAAAAGUAGUCAUUUACCUAUGUGUUUUCUACAACCACGGUUUGCAUCACACUUGGAGAAUUGCUGCCCUAAAGCCAUCCAACAUUUCUUCAGGGAUCUGUGCCCCUUUGCACAAUUUAAGAGGAGUCUCUUUAGUGAUGUUUGGAACAUGGAAGAUGUGUGGAAUGAGCCAGCCAAGUCUUUUCUUCUCCCUCUCCAGCACAGGAUGAUAUUUUUGGCGACAACGAUCCUCAUGGAAUGUUUUUCUCUUUUUCUGGAAAGAAAAUAAAUGCCCCUAUUCCCAAUUACCACUGAGGAUAAGUAGUAAAGAGUGAGGAAAUGUCCAGGGACGCCUACUCCAGCAGAUGUAAGGAUCUUUUUAUUGCCUGACAUGCUCCAGGCCAGGCUCACAUUAGUCCUAUUUUUAGACUUUUGGGUUGACUUGAUGAAUUUGGCCUCCUUUUCAGCAGAUCAUAUUAAUGAACCGCAGAUGGGCCCAUAAUUGAUUCCUUUCUAUCGCAAUUACUUCACAAGCAGGCAAAAGUAUUCAGUGUCUCCUUGGUGGGUAGUUACCUAGUUUCGAAAACUCCAGGCUCUGUCUGGGAACAGGUUUUCCUCCUGGCUUGGACAUCAGAAGACGGAUGAUCCAAGAUGGAUUCACCAAAGUACUUGGAAGCACACACAGCAUCCUUGGCAGUUGCUCUGGGUGCUUGGAGAUCUUGGCAGCUCUGUGUUGUUGCCUGGAGAUGCUGACAGUUAUCAUUUUGGUGGAUGGAGGCAAGAGCUGUACCACUGGAAGACAUUCAGAAACAUUUCCAUUGUGUAACAUCAGACCCACAAACCCAUCACUCUGGCAAUGUACCCAAAUGCAUCCAUCCUCUCCUCUAUUGGCCUCCCUUGAAGUACUGCCAGAAAUCUAGGGUACCCUAUGCUCUUCAGCGUCAGCACCGUUUCUCUUAAGAAGCUUGGGCUUCCUCCUCUGGUGACAUGUGUAAUCUGGGCCAGUUUAUUCAACAUGGCCAUGGCUAUCAGGGUGGUGGAGGACAGGUCUUGUAUUCUAACUGAAAACCGUGGGAACAUAAAUUCAUAAGCCCAGUGCUAAAAGGCAUCGUCUAACUCGAACUUUGAGAGCCAGUGGUGGGUGACAAAGAGUUGCUGCUCUGUUCCUUUUGCAGAGGAAGUGACCAGGCAGGCUGGUCAUUACCUACUUGGCAGACACAGAGAAGCAAGGAGGGUGACAGAAAGAAAAAGACACACUUUGUCCACGUUUAGACUCUGCGCAAACAUCUGUCUGUUUUCUAGGGAGUUGAUGGACACUGGCAAGUCCAGUAGACUGAGGAAAUCUAAAUUCUGCCAACCAUACACAUGAGAUUUACCCACAUUUCUUUCAACUAGGGGCACUGUCUAAGAAGCCAGCUUUUACUCACAAGGAGGAUCAUUUCCACGCUGGAUAUCUAUGUUCACCUUCUUUCUACAUAAGACAUUUAGUACAAAGAACAAUUUACCUGCUUAUCUAUACAAAAGUAUAAUAAGGGUAACUUUAUUUUCAGUUCAGGUCAGACAAGUUUUACGACGAUUAUCUGCCCUGUGAGUUAUCUGAGCUCUGUUCUUUGCUGAAGAUCACAGAGAGUGACUUUUAUUAUUUCCAUGCAAUCAGCUGAACAGCAGCACAGAACACACGUAGCUUCCACAUUUCAGGAUGGAAACACAAGUCGCCCUGAUCUGCUCAGGGACUUCCUUCAGAGGGGCCCACUGCCCUGCAGUGCACAAUCCACUCAGUCUCUCACAGGGUCUGCUGACUGACUGCCGGACAAAGUACAUCAGUCAGGGUUCCCGAUGGCUUGGAGAUGAGAAAAGAAAUGGGUUGUAUAGCCCCAGGGUCAUCUGAUAUUGGGGUUCACAGGCUGGGGUGAGCAGAAUAACUGCCAUCUCCCCACUUCCUUAUUGUGGCUUCCAAGCUUGCUUCUGUUGGUCUUAAGAUGAUGCAGUUUUUGCCUUCAGGACGUGCAGGGCCACACUCAGAAGUGAACAGCUACUUCCAUUGUUCCCGAGUCUACUACACGUGGGCCCAGUAGUGACUGUGGACAGACGGCCAUGAGGGAGACACGUUGCUCAACUCAACCUACUCCAGGGAAUAGCAUCGCUAAAGUUCCUGGCAAAGGACUCUAGGCAAGCCCUGGGACAACUGGCCCUGAUUCCAUCACCUCUAAGUGAUGGUUUGGAAAGGGCUAGCAUAUGAUGGUCUGGUCCAAUUAGGAGAUUUCCAGUCUCUGCAAGACCGUGAGAAUACUUGUGCUUUACAAGCAUUGUCCCUGUAGACUGAGUAAACAGCACCGCCACCCAUGUGAGCUAUUAAUUGAAUAUUUGUAGCUGUAUAUAGCUAAUAAAAUGUAUACUUAUC